rnacentral:lncRNA from 1 species
CUCUUAGGAAAAUAAGAGGCUUUGGGGAACUAUCUGUAGAACUUCUUUUGAAGAAUGCUCCAGAGGCAGUUGUGAUCAGCCAUCUACAAACUCAUGAUAGUCCUUGUUGAAUCAAUUUCAAUGUGAGCCCUUUGAGAAUAGUUGAAGAAAUGUAGAAUAAAGAUUUAAUUCCACAAAGAGAGGUUACAAAGACCCAUGAAAUCAAAAGAUUACUGUGAAAUAGUUUGCAUCUAAUUAGAAUUGGAGUGUCAGGUAUAAAGAAAAAUGAAACUUCUUGAUAUGUUAUAUAUGUAUAUGCUUAUAUAUAUAUAUGAGAUACUGCUUAAUAUGUUAAAUAUAUAUGAAGUUCUUUAAGCAGUUUUCAUUAGCAACUUAUAUUGUAAGGUAGAAAAAGACAUCUAGACUUCAUUUGCAUUUCCAAAGGGAAAUGAAAAAAAUGAGAAAAUAAAUAAUUCCAUUUCAUUUUUUUUGCAACGGAUAACUACUCUAAGAAAAACUAGUUAUUUAUUUAAAUUGAUUGAAAAGUGAUAUUAUUCCCCCUCCUUUUCUUGAUAUAUGUAAAGAGGCUAGAAGGUAAAAAAAAGAAAUCCUGAAGUGUUUUGGAGAACAGAUCUAUCAGUUAGAUAAGUAUGCGGAAUUCUUGAUAUGAAAAAGUUGAGUAUAUUUAACAUCAUUUAUUAAGGAACUUUCUCUCUUAAGUUCUUCAGUAAGUGGAUAUUUAGGUGACAAAAUAUUGUUUAAUAUCAGAAAACGCAGUCCUUAAAUCUCAAGACUUUUGCUUAAACUUGGAUUCCCAAAAUAUUCUUCUUCAUUGAUAUUGUAAUAUUCUCUCUAUAUGAUUAGGAACUAAUUUAUUAUUUUUAUUUUUUUGCUUUUUAGGGUGCCCCUGUGGCAUAUGAGGUUUCUAGGCUAUGGGUCAAAUUGGAGCUACAACUGCCGGCCUACGUCAGAGCCAUAGCAGUGCCAGAUCCUUAACCCACUGAAUGAGUCCAGGGAUCGAACCUGCAACCUCAUGGUUCCUAGUUGGAUUUGUUUCUGCUGUACCACAAUGGGAACUCCAGGAAACAAUUUAGCACAUUAUUAUAGUUUAGCAUUCUCCAGGUUUUUGUGUUUUGUUUUUUUCUUUUUCUUUUUUCUUUUUAGGGGACAAAUCUGUGGCAUAUGGAAGUUCCCAGGCUAGCGGUCAAAAUUGGAGAGUAAUGCCAGAUCCGAGCUGCACCUGCAGCCUAGGCUGCAGUUUGUGGCAAUGCUGGAUCCUUACCCCACUGAGCGAGUCCAAGGAUCAAACCCUGCAUCCUCACAGACACUAAUCAAGUUCUUGACCUGCUGAGCCACAAGGGAUACUCCUUGAUUUCUUUCUGUAUGUUGAAAUACUCUUGUAGUCAUGAGAUAAAUUCCCUUUAAUCUUAGCUUAGGAUCUUCUUAAUAUGCCGCUGGAUUCAGUUUGCUAGUAUUUUGCUGCGGAUUUUUACAUCCAUGUUCAUGAAGCAUGUGAUUUUCUUCCUCUGGGGUGUCUCCAUCCGGUUUUGGUAUCAGGGUAGUUCUGACUUCAUAGGCUGAUGGAAGAUUAGUCCUUCCUCUUCUCCUUUUUAGGAGAACUUGAGAAUGAUUAGUAUUAAAUUUUCUUUAAAUGUUUGGCAGCAUUCACCACUGAUGUCAUCUUUAGAACUUUCCUUUUCAAAAUGGGUAGGGAGUUCCCGUGGUGCUGCAGUGGAAACGAAUCCAACUCCGAAUCGUGAGGUUGCAGGUUUGAUCCCUGGCCUCGCUCAAUGGGUUAAGGAUCUGGUGUUGCCGUGAGCUGUGGUGUAGGUUGAAGAUGCAGCUUGUAUCUGAUGUUGUUGUGGUUGUGGUGUAGACCGGCAGCUGUAGCUCCCAUUGUACCCUAGCCUGGGAACCUCCAUAUGCUACGAGUGCAGCCCUAAAAAGCCAAAAAAAAAAAAAAAAA